rnacentral:rRNA from 1 species
GACGAACGCUGGCGGCGUGCUUAACACAUGCAAGUCGAACGGAAAGGCCCUGCUUUUGUGGGGUGCUCGAGUGGCGAACGGGUGAGUAACACGUGAGUAACCUGCCCUUGACUUUGGGAUAACUUCAGGAAACUGGGGCUAAUACCGGAUAGGAGCUCCUGCUGCAUGGUGGGGGUUGGAAAGUUUCGGCGGUUGGGGAUGGACUCGCGGCUUAUCAGCUUGUUGGUGGGGUAGUGGCUUACCCAGGCUUUGACGGGUAGCCGGCCUGAGAGGGUGACCGGCCACAUUGGGACUGAGAUACGGCCCAAACUCCUACGGGAGGCAGCAGUGGGGAAUAUUGCACAAUGGGCGGAAGCCUGAUGCAGCAACGCCGCGUGCGGGAUGACGGCCUUCGGGUUGUAAACCGCUUUCGCCUGUGACGAAGCGUGAGUGACGGUAAUGGGUAAAGAAGCACCGGCUAACUACGUG